GGUAGCCGGACUGAGAGGUUGAACGGCCACAUUGGGACUGAGACACGGCCCAGACUCCUACGGGAGGCAGCAGUGGGGGAUAUUGCACAAUGGGGGAAACCCUGAUGCAGCGACGCCGCGUGGAGGAAGAAGGUUUUCGGAUUGUAAACUCCUGUCGUUAGGGACGAUAAUGACGGUACCUAACAAGAAAGCACCGGCUAACUACGUGCCAGCAGCCGCGGUAAAACGUAGGGUGCAAGCGUUGUCCGGAAUUACUGGGUGUAAAGGGAGCGCAGGCGGGAAGACAAGUUGGAAGUGAAAACCAUGGGCUCAACCCAUGAAUUGCUUUCAAAACUGUUUUUCUUGAGUAGUGCAGAGGUAGAUGGAAUUCCCGGUGUAGCGGUGGAAUGCGUAGAUAUCGGGAGGAACACCAGUGGCGAAGGCGGUCUACUGGGCACCAACUGACGCUGAGGCUCGAAAGCAUGGGUAGCAAACAGGAUUAGAUACCCUGGUAGUCCAUGCCGUAAACGAUGAUUACUAGGUGUUGGAGGAUUGACCCCUUCAGUGCCGCAGUUAACACAAUAAGUAAUCCACCUGGGGAGUACGACCGCAAGGUUGAAACUCAAAGGAAUUGACGGGGGCCCGCACAAGCAGUGGAGUAUGUGGUUUAAUUCGAAGCAACGCGAAGAACCUUACCAGGUCUUGACAUCCGAUGCAUAGCACAGAGAUGUGUGAAAUCCUUCGGGACAUCGAGACAGGUGGUGCAUGGUUGUCGUCAGCUCGUGUCGUGAGAUGUUGGGUUAAGU
rnacentral:rRNA from 1 species